rnacentral:rRNA from 1 species
CUUGGCGGCCAUAGCGCGGUGGUCCCACCUGAUCCCAUGCCGAACUCAGAAGUGAAACGCCGUAGCGCCG